UGCCACUCUUAACGGGGUGGCUUUUCAGAAGUGUAAAAAGCUUCUGGAAUAAGGGCUGGGCAAGACCGGUGCCAGCCGCCGCGGUAACACCGGCAGCUCAAGUGGUAGCCGCUUUUAUUGGGCCUAAAGCGUCCGUAGCCGGUCUGAUAAGUCUCUGGUGAAAUCCCACAGCUUAACUGUGGGAAUUGCUGGAGGUACUAUCAUGACUCGAGGUCGGGAGAGGCUGGAGGUACUCCCAGGGUAGGGGUGAAAUCCUGUAAUCCUGGGAGGACCACCUGUGGCGAAGGCGUCCAGCUGGAACGAACCUGACGGUGAGGGACGAAAGCCAGGGGCGCGAACCGGAUUAGAUACCCGGGUAGUCCUGGCCGUAAACGAUGUGGACUUGGUGUUGAGAUGGCUUCGAGCUGCCCCAGUGCCGAAGGGAAGCUGUUAAGUCCACCGCCUGGGAAGUACGGCCGCA
rnacentral:rRNA from 1 species